AGCGGCGGACGGGUGAGUAACACGUGGGUAACCUGCCCAAGAGACUGGGAUAACACCUGGAAACAGAUGCUAAUACCGGAUAACAACACUAGACGCAUGUCUAGAGUUUGAAAGAUGGUUCUGCUAUCACUCUUGGAUGGACCUGCGGUACAUUAGCUAGUUGGUAAGGUAACGGCUUACCAAGGCAAUGAUGCAUAGCCGAGUUGAGAGACUGAUCGGCCACAUUGGGACUGAGACACGGCCCAAACUCCUACGGGAGGCAGCAGUAGGGAAUCUUCCACAAUGGACGAAAGUCUGAUGGAGCAACGCCGCGUGAGUGAAGAAGGGUUUCAGCUCGUAAAGCUCUGUUGGUAGUGAAGAAAGAUAGAGGUAGUAACUGGCCUUUAUUUGACGGUAAUUACUUAGAAAGUCACGGCUAACUACGUGCCAGCAGCCGCGGUAAUACGUAGGUGGCAAGCGUUGUCCGGAUUUAUUGGGCGUAAAGCGAGUGCAGGCGGUUCAAUAAGUCUGAUGUGAAAGCCUUCGGCUCAACCGGAGAAUUGCAUCAGAAACUGUUGAACUUGAGUGCAGAAGAGGAGAGUGGAACUCCAUGUGUAGCGGUGGAAUGCGUAGAUAUAUGGAAGAACACCAGUGGCGAAGGCGGCUCUCUGGUCUGCAACUGACGCUGAGGCUCGAAAGCAUGGGUAGCGAACAGGAUUAGAUACCCUGGUAGUCCAUGCCGUAAACGAUGAGUGCUAAGUGU
rnacentral:rRNA from 1 species